UACAGGGGGGGCAAGCGUUGUUCGGAAUUACUGGGCGUAAAGGGUUCGUAGGUGGCCACUUAAGUCAGAUGUGAAAUCCCCCGGGCUCAACCUGGGAAACUGCAUUUGUGUACUGCAAGGCUGGAGUACGGCAGAGGGGGAUGGAAUUCCGCGUGGUAGCAGUGAAAUGCGUAGAUAUGCGGAGGAACACCGAUGGCGAAGGCAAUCCCCUGGGCCUGUG
rnacentral:rRNA from 1 species